rnacentral:rRNA from 1 species
UGGUACUUGUACCGACUGGAUGAGCAGCGAACGGGUGAGUAACGCGUGGGGAAUCUGCCUUUGAGCGGGGGACAACAUUUGGAAACGAAUGCUAAUACCGCAUAAAAACUUUAAACACAAGUUUUAAGUUUGAAAGAUGCAAUUGCAUCACUCAAAGAUGAUCCCGCGUUGUAUUAGCUAGUUGGUGAGGUAAAGGCUCACCAAGGCGAUGAUACAUAGCCGACCUGAGAGGGUGAUCGGCCACAUUGGGACUGAGACACGGCCCAAACUCCUACGGGAGGCAGCAGUAGGGAAUCUUCGGCAAUGGACGAAAGUCUGACCGAGCAACGCCGCGUGAGUGAAGAAGGUUUUCGGAUCGUAAAACUCUGUUGGUAGAGAAGAACGUUGGUGAGAGUGGAAAGCUCAUCAAGUGACGGUAACUACCCAGAAAGGGACGGCUAACUACGUGCCAGCAGCCGCGGUAAUACGUAGGUCCCGAGCGUUGUCCGGAUUUAUUGGGCGUAAAGCGAGCGCAGGUGGUUUAUUAAGUCUGGUGUAAAAGGCAGUGGCUCAACCAUUGUAUGCAUUGGAAACUGGUAGACUUGAGUGCAGGAGAGGAGAGUGGAAUUCCAUGUGUAGCGGUGAAAUGCGUAGAUAUAUGGAGGAACACCGGUGGCGAAAGCGGCUCUCUGGCCUGUAACUGACACUGAGGCUCGAAAGCGUGG